AUUGAACGCUGGCGGCAUGCUUUACACAUGCAAGUCGAACGGUAACAGGCCGCAAGGUGCUGACGAGUGGCGAACGGGUGAGUAAUGCAUCGGAACGUGCCCAGUCGUGGGGGAUAACGCAGCGAAAGCUGUGCUAAUACCGCAUACGAUCUAUGGAUGAAAGCGGGGGACCGGAAGGCCUCGCGCGAUUGGAGCGGCCGAUGUCAGAUUAGGUAGUUGAUGGGGUAAAGGCCUACCAAGCCAACGAUCUGUAGCUGGUCUGAGAGGACGACCAGCCACACUGGGACUGAGACACGGCCCAGACUCCUACGGGAGGCAGCAGUGGGGAAUUUUGGACAAUGGGCGCAAGCCUGAUCCAGCAAUGCCGCGUGCAGGAAGAAGGCCUUCGGGUUGUAAACUGCUUUUGUACGGAACGAAACGGUCUGGGUUAAUACCCUGGACUAAUGACGGUACCGUAAGAAUAAGCACCGGUUAACUACGUGCCAGCAGCCGCCGUAAGAC
rnacentral:rRNA from 1 species